rnacentral:rRNA from 1 species
UCUGGUUGAUCCUGCCAGUGGCCAUAUGCUACGUUCAAGGGCUAAGCCAUGCAUGUCUCAGCGCAAAUGGCUCCACAAUGGGUCUGUGAAUGGCUCCUUACAUCAGCAGUCAUCUCCUCGACAGCGUGUGGUCGAUGCCGGUCCCAGGGCAUCCAGCGAGACAUCCACCAAAACCUUGUGGCUAAUACCUGCUCGCAACGGUCGGCCGCGGCCCCUGGAUAGCUGUCAUUUGCUGCUUUCAUGCGGCGGAUUGCGCCCAGUUGUGCGGAAGACCAGCGCGUCCUCGUGACGCAGCGUGUAGUGGAUGAAUCAGGCUGGUCCUCCUCGGACAGCCGUGCUGGCGCCUAGGGGCGGUCCUCGAACCGCAAUCGCUUGGUCAUCGGAACUUCUGACCUAUCAGCUCGGAUCGUGGGGUCGUGGCCCACACUGGCUUUGACGGGUGACGGAGAACCAGGGUUCGAUUCCGGAGAGGCAGCCUGAGAGAUGGCUACCACUACCAAGGUGGGCAGCAGGCACGCAAAUUGCCCAAUGUCAACACAGUCUCGAUGAGGCAGCGACGAACUGCACCGAUCCCACUCGGUUUCCUAGCCAGUGGGUCCCGGCAUGGAUGCUAUUCAAACACAGCGAUGAGAAUCGACUGGAGGGCAAGUCUGGUGCCAGCAGCUGCGGUAAUUCCAGCUCCAGAGGCGUAUGCUAACAUUGCUGCCGUUAAAACGCUCGUAGUCCGCCUCGGGUCCGCAGGUCUGCCAGGCGUCAAACCCUGGCGGUAUGCUCCUGCGCCCACAACGUUCGUUGUUCCAGUGAUGCCGAACCGCUCCUGCCUCAAGUCCCCUUCAGUGGGGAUCCCAGCGGCCCUGGCUCGCACGUCGAGUCUGCGACGACUGUGGUGGUGUGCGGCCCCGUGCCACACGUACGAUUCCCCUCAAAAGGAUCGGCCACCGUCCGCCACCGGAGCCCAUCACGGCUGGCACCCUGGAAAAAUCAAUGUGCUCCAAGCAACCAACUGUACCUCAGUGAUGGCUGGAUGUUCCUCCAGCGAAAGUCAAAGCAUCGACCGAGUCAUGGCAAAUCGAGUUGUGCUGGGCUUCGAGCCGACUCUCUGGGCAAUCUGGUCCUCGCUGGCAGCGCCACCCACCCCGUCUGCCCCGUGCGUGCCCUCGGGUGCGUGCGACGGUGGGCGGGACCCAAAAGGGGCCUCGGCUCCGAGGGUGCGCGCCUGUUCCAUGCGUGGAUCAAUCGGCUGUGAUGGAACCAGCUCAGGGUGAAGGAUAUUGCAGCGCCAGAGGUGAAAUUCUUAGACCGUUGCAGGAUCUCCUGCAGCGAAGGCGCUUUCCCAGUGCUUGUUCGUCGACAAGGAACGAGAGUCCGGGGAUCAAAGAUGAUCAGACACCGUCGUAGUCCGGACCGUCAACGAUGUCAGCUGGGCUGUGACAGGGCUCCUCCACCCUGCCAGCGCCACGCCCCCACACCGAGAAAUCCGAAGCUUCCGGAUUCAGGGGGAAGUACUGCUGCAAGGCUGAAACUUAAAGGAAUUGACGGAAUGGCACCACAAGGCGUGGGAUCUGCGGCUUAAUUUGACUCAACACGCGGAACGUUACCAGGUCAGAACACAGCCAGGAUGGACAGACUGAUCGCUCUUUCUUGAUCCUGUGGAUGGUGGUGCAUGGCCGCUCCUGAUUGGUGGAGUGAUUUGUCUGGUUGAUUCCGAUAACGAGUGAGACAUCUGCCUCCCAAUAGCCCGGGGCUCGCAUCUGGUAGGGCAGUCUCCGUGGUCCAAACGGCGGGCGCCGGUCGCUCCUCACGGGGUGGCCGGCGUUCGUCUCCGCGGGACUCCCGAGAGCUCUCCGGUCGCUUCUCUGAGGUGCUGGCUCCGUCUCCAGGAGCUGCAUGCUAGAGCCAACAGCAGGUCUGUGAUGCUCCGAGAUGUUCUGGGCCGCACGCGGAUCACAAUGGCAGGGCGAGCGAGUUACCCGCUCACUUCGGUCGAGCCCUGGCCAGACGUGGUCGGGAAACCUUCCAAGUCCCUUCAGGUCCCAUUGGGGAUAGACGAUUGCCACUGUCUGCCUUGAACAUGGAAUGCCUCGUAGGCGCCGGUCAUCAGCCGGCACCGAUUGCGUCCCUGCCAUUUGUACACACCGCCCGUCGUUGCUACCGAUGGUGGCUGGCCAAAGCCACCUGGAGGUCCACGGCCCGUGUCCCCUCGGGGGCGUGGUGCCCAGCCGAACUCUGGCGAUGCCCACUCGCUAGAGGAAGCAAAAGUCGUAACAAGGUUGCUGUAGGUGAACCUGCAGCAG